GUGUGUGUGUCUGUGUAGUAGUAGUAGUAGUAGAAUUACAGUCAUUUUAAACACGAAGCUCUCCAUGAAUGUUACUGAAUAUCUUUUGUUAAUCAUUCCAUGUUAAUGAGGAAAUAUCUAUAGACUGAUGGAACGAAUAAAACAAUUCAAUCUCCCUGUUUUUGAAAGACGGCGAUACACCAAGUACAGUUCUAUUUCAUUUCUGAUCAUAAUAACAAAAACGCCGAAGUCGAUCGUCGGAGACAUUGUCCUUUACGUUGACAUAAAUUUAAUUUUGCUGGUUCAUGCUCGAAGAAUGGUAUGAAUGGUAAAGCGAACUAGACUAAGAUAAAAAAAAAGGACAUCGAAUAUUACUUUCUUCGCUGUAUUGUGUAUUUGUUUCUUUUUGCAUUUCGUCUUUGUUAUAGAUCUUCUAUAAGAACGAAACGAUAUCCCUUAAUUUGCCAUUUCUAAAUACAAAGAACAAGAAGAAAACAUCCAGAAAUAAAUUGUGCGAAACAGAAUUUAUUUUAGAAAACGCAUCCUGAAAUCAACCGAAGGGACACAGCCCACCCGCGAGGGUUCGAUGCAAGAUGGUGGAAAUGGUUUCAGUGAUCAAUAAAAAUCCUCGUAUCUUCCAUCUUCCGUUUCUCAUUAAUCAAGCACGCAACGGACGCUAAUCCAAUCAACGAGUAUACCUGUGAACCACCAGGUGUACUGCAUACGAUUUAUUAAUUACAUACGCACAUACACACACCACCCACACACGCAUAUAUGUGUGUCAGUAUGUGUGUAUAUAUAUGUGUGUGUGUGUAGAAUAUUUGAAGAGGUUAAGAUGUUAAGUAGAAGGAGGUAAUCAGGAUUUUCACUAAUUAAUUAGUGAUUCAUCUCGUUUCGGAGAAACACCAGAAAUUUCGCACUCUCUCUCUCUGUCUCUCUCUCUGUUUCUGUCUGUCUGUCUCUCUCUGUCUCUCCUCUCAUAUAUAUAUAUAUAUAUAUAUAUAUAUGUGUGUAUAUGUGUGUGUGUGUGUGUGUGUGUGUGUGUGUGUGUGUGUGUGUUUGAUUGUUUGUAUCGAAUGAUAUGACAAAGUACAGAGUCUUCAGGAAAAAAGAAAUACGUAUAUAGAUUUUGUCAUUCUAUUUGUUAACUUCUAUCUUUAUGAAAUAGUUUUCAAAGCACUCCCCAAGUGAAAAAAAUCCUAAGUUUCGCUUUCUUUGACUCAUUUCAGAAAAGAGGAGAGUAACGAAUAGAAAAUGUGAUGGAAUCUAAUGAUAUAUCAAGAGAAAUAUUUUCCAUCAAGCCGGUUUCCUUGAAUUAAAAGAAUAAUAAUGAUAAUAAUAAUAUAGAUGAUAAUUAACCUCAGUUUAUUCAAUUAAUAUCUUUUCAGGAGUAUGGGGAAAAACUUUUAACAAUUUAAUAGAAAAACAAUAGAAUUUGUUUUAGACAUUAAUUAUGGAACAUUUUAAUUACAUUUAAAUGAUUAUGAGAAAUGAAAACAAUUCAUUAUCAACAAAUAUGUUGGUAUUAGUGACCAAUGGAUAUGCUUUAAUACCAAUUUAUUCACGAGAUUAAUUCAUUAAUUAAAUAUUUAAUAUGAUUUAUUCCUUGGACAAAAUGUCGGAGAUAUAACUUCAUUCGACUUUGUUGAAUAACCCUUAAGAAUAAACUACAGGCACACACAUAUGUAUAUGUAUAUAUAUAUAAUUCUCUCUCUCUCUCUCUCUCUCUCUCUCUCUCUCUCUCUCUCUCUGUAUCUAUGUGUGUGUGUAUGUGUGCGUGUGUGUGUGAAAUUUCUCAGUCCGUCAAAGUACAUCAUACGCGUUUCUGUAUUUUGUUUGGAGUUCUUGGAGGAAUAUCAAUAUCGCUCAUUGAUACUUUGUGACGCAGACCAUCGAGGAUCUCCCUCCGCUCGUCCCUAUCAUGGAACUUCUUCCCCAGCAUCCCUUGUCCCAUCCGGAUCUUCCGCUUUGUUCUGCAAAAAAAUCAACGUCGCCAAAAUUUCUUUAGCUUUUGCUCUCGUCCUUUUGUGCUAAGCUUUCCCCCAGAGGAACCGCUUGACAGCGUUGUGAUUAUGUUUACUGAAUCUGUUUCCAAUGCCGAAACACUUCAUUUCAGCUCUAUGUCAACGAGGGGUCGCUGCAUUUGUUACCAGAAGGCAAUCUAUUUGAUUUCUUUUUUCGGCCAAUGUAUUUCAAGAAUCUUCCUGAUGCAAUGGUUGAUUAAGGACCGGAUCUCCUUUAGAGUACAUUUCGUAUGCCUCUACGUCUCGGCCUAUGAGCUGACACAACUGGUAUGAUUAAGUAUCAAUGUUGGAAGCACGAAUAUGUUUUUGGACAUGAGACAUCCAAUCCAGUGUUACCAAUGUCAAACAGAACAGAUUUAUUAUCAGACGUAAUUUUGCAUUUAUAUCAAUCGAAAUUCAUUUGUGGAAUGUAGACAAUUUAUACUUCAUAUCAUUUCUAAAUUAUAUAAGCUAAACAAGAUAAAGUUGCUAUUAGUAAGCUAAAAACCAAUUCUCAUAGAUCUAGGAAAGAUUCAGUGAGGAACACAUACCAGUUCCUCUAAACCCAGUAAUACCAUUCUUCCGAAGAUGCUUUUAGCAUUUUUUACUACAUGCAUUUUUGAAAUUUUGAUUCGUAAAAAAAAAACAAAAAAACUAAACAACAAGACUUUGGAAAUGUGGUUCUUGAAACAUAAUUUAAUUAUGGUACCGUAAAAUCAUAUUCAUAGAAAAAAUAAUUAGAUUUUCACUUUACGAGACACGCAAUUGUUAUUACAACAAAGUAACAUGAAUUCCGAACAAGAUGAAACUCCAACCCAAAAUGGCUGCAGAUACGAAAACGGAAUCAAGUAUUAAAGAAUGAGGGGUUAAUAGUCGAAAUGGUUAGCAUUGGAUAAACGAUUCGGAAGAGGCAAUGAAAUAUAUUUGAAAAAUACAUCAUGCAAUAGAAACGUGGAUGGCAGAGACAACAACUGUGUGUACUUCUAUAAACGGAUCUUCAAAGAUCGGCUUAUUUCGGCAAUUUUCGACAUCGAAUACAUCGUUAUAAUAUAAAAUGAAAGAAUUCAACUCGAGAGGGGAAGGAAUAAUAAUGGCCCGAGUCAAUUAGUAAAUAGCAAAAGGAUAAGGAAUCGGAGAGUGAAGUUCGAACACGCAAAUAAGAA
rnacentral:lncRNA from 1 species